ensembl:snRNA U6 U6 spliceosomal RNA
GUGCUUGCUUUGGCAGCAUAUAUACUAAAAUUGGAACAAUACAGAGAAGAUUAGCAU